CGCGGGGUGGAGCAGUCUGGUAGCUCGUCGGGCUCAUAACCCGAAGGUCGCAGGUUCAAAUCCUGCCCCCGCAA
rfam:Bacillus coagulans 36D1, complete genome.